ensembl:lncRNA
AGAGAAACCAAUCCUCUUUCCACUUCAGACACUGGAUGCUUUCAGGGGACUAGCCUAAAGAGUGGGCUUCCCUGACGGCUCAGCAGCUCAUAAAGAGGAACCCAGGAAGUCAGGAGACAGCAGGGUGACCAUUUCCGUCCCCAGAACAGCCUUCAGCCAGUUUCUACAUGCCUCUUGCCAGGGACCAAACUGGCACCUAGGCUGCCCCGGAGGACGCAGAAAACCAGGACCCGGCUGGGGGCUGAAAUGUACUCCAUUGAAGAAUCCUCUGGCCUCCUCAGCACUGGAAGGACCAGCCAGCGGCAGUGAGAGUUUAUCAUUUGGAGGGAGGAGCAAGUCCUUCAGGCUGCCUGGAUUCCAGAACGAAGCUCUUUUUGAAAGAAGAGGCGAGGCCCCUUUCCGAGAAGUAAGCCCCCCAGCGUGGCUUUGAAGAGCUUUGCUGACAUUGUUACAAGAGGUAUUUAUUCUCCACCCAUCUAUUUAUUCCUUGGAUGUCAACCACAGACUCUGAAAAUCCACUGUGUAUAAAAGCUCAAGUUGCAAUGAUGGAGUGCAGAGAGAGAGGGUUUUAUUCCUUGGCUGCUGUUAGAAGAGGCCCAAACCCUGAUGCCGGCUCCAC